AGAGUUCGAUCCUGGCUCAGGAUAAACGCUGGCGGCGUGCCUAACACAUGCAAGUCGAACGAGAAUCUGAUGACGGAGUUUUCGGACAACUGAUUCAGAGGACGGUGGCGGACGGGUGAGUAAUGCGUGAGCAACCUGCCCUUCAGAGGGGGACAACAGUUGGAAACGGCUGCUAAUACCGCAUAAUGUAUCCGGGAGGCAUCUCCUGAAUACCAAAGAUUUUAUCGCUGAAGGAUGGGCUCACGUCUGAUUAGCUAGUUGGUAGGGUAACGGCCUACCAAGGCUGCGAUCAGUAGCCGGACUGAGAGGUUGACCGGCCACAUUGGGACUGAGAUACGGCCCAG
rnacentral:rRNA from 1 species